rnacentral:lncRNA from 1 species
AUGAUUUGCCUCGUAUUGGACAUAGAGACGUGGCUCCUUCGGUGUGACAAGAUCAAGUCUCCAUAUCUCCUCUGCAGUAUGCUUUAUAAUACUGGCUUAGCAAAAGUUCUGAAAAUGGCUCCUCUGGAGAGAGUUCUCUCUUCUGCUUUUGCAACAAGAGACCACUUGAGGUUUGUAUGUGACUCCGAAGAUGUCUUUUACAAAAGACUGAGAAGCACUCAUCUACUAGGGAAAAAAAUCAAGGAUCGAAAUACAUGUGGUAAAUUCUUGGAAAGCACAGAAGAGGGCACUUGGCUAAGGAUGAUUGCCUUCCUUGAGAAGUUUCAGUUUAUUUUCUCCUCCUGGAAUAAACUCCAAUAAAGCCUUCAAGUCUCCCCUUCCUUUCCAGCUCAGAGUUCCCAAGGAAAGAAAGAGCCUGCCAGGCCAGUGAAAAAAUAAGGACGGGAUAGAUUCUUCUCUCCUGUCCUGCUCCUGGUU